rnacentral:tRNA from 1 species
GCCCAGAUGGCGGAAUUGGUAGACGCGCUAGAUUCAGGGUCUAGUGACCGCAAGGUCGUGGAAGUUCGAGUCUUCUUCUGGGCACCA